CCCAGGUGUAGGCAGCUGCCAAGGUUGCCUUGUACCUAGGCAGUUUUACACUGCUGGAAGAACAAGAGUGGCUAGCAGCUGGUGGGCAUUCUUGCCCUGGCUAAUGUGCUACUUGUGUUAACUAU
ensembl:snoRNA SNORA74 Small nucleolar RNA SNORA74